UACGGGGGGGGCAAGCGUUGUUCGGAAUUACUGGGCGUAAAGGGCUCGUAGGUGGCCAACUAAGUCAGACGUGAAAUCCCUCGGCUUAACCGGGGAACUGCGUCUGAUACUGGAUGGCUUGAGUUUGGGAGAGGAGCGUGGAAUUCCCAGUGUAGAGGUGGAAUUCGUAGAUAUUGGGAAGAACACCGGUGGCGAAGGCGGCGCUCUGGACCGAUACUGACGCUGAGGCGCGAAAGCGUGGGGAGCAAACAGG
rnacentral:rRNA from 1 species